rnacentral:tRNA from 1 species
UGGCACAGUUGGUAGAGCAUGGUGCUUGCAACGCCAAGGUUGUGGGUUCUAUUCCCGC